CUUGGCAGGGCAACCCGCAUCAUUGUUCCAGCAUUGCAACAUUGUUCCACCCUCUUAAUCCAAAAGCAUUCUAGUGUGUUGGCUCCCAGCUCACGCCCUGACCGUGGACUGAUCCGGCCUGCCCUGAGGUUACCUUCCCUGCUCAUCAGGUGUGAGGACCUGGGCAAGUCACUGCACCUCUCUAGGCUUCAUUGUUCUCUCCUGGAAAAUGGGACCUGGCACCAGGACUUAAGCACAGGUUUGCGGUAAGCAUGUGGUGACCUAGUGAAAGGCGCGCUUACCAUCAUCCCUGGUAUGCUAAGCCCCUAGUACGUGUGGCUGUUUGAAUCAUCUGCUUCAUCAUCUUUUAAAGCAAUGUUGCUUCUAAUCCGCAUUUUGGUCCUAAAGGGCCCUUGACUUUCAGGAGGAUUUUUGUUGGCAUGGAUUUGUUUAAAUGAACGUAAUGCAACGACAACAAACCACAGAAGAAUGGGCAGUAUCUUUGUGUCUUACCAAGGACAAUUACAGAUAUUUUCACAUUAUGUUACAAGCAUUUUGAAACAAUGUUUACACUCACCACUACUCUGAAAUUAAGGUGUCAUCUCCAGGCUAUGUAUUUUGAUGAAAACACCACAGCCUCCGCAUUUACUGGGGAAGCUUCUGUUCCUGAUUGUGAACUAUUGUAGCUCUCAGGUAGUGUCACACACACAGGAAAUACUUCUUGGACUGCAUGCUCUGCCAGCACUGACCACCAAGUACUUCCAGGUCAAGCUAGUCCCCUGCCCUCGCAUCGCCAAAACUCCUCCCUUCAGGUGGCCAAGCGGUACUGCUCUGAAUAGCACCAUGAAAACACAGAAAGAUGACAUGUUUGUAAGGAUGAACAUUUGAGAAAUCUCACCAGCAUUCAAAAGGCAGGUGUCUUGGGUUUAUUCAGUUCUCUUUAUCUGGUUGGAACGCCAGUUUGCUCAGGGCAGGACUCUGUGGAACUCAUUCACCCAUGGGCCUUAAGCAUCUGGGACAGUGCUUGGAACAAACAGGAUCCCUGCUUGCUCUUUGGCUGCCUGAUAUUCUGAAUGGACUGAAGUAAAACAAAGUGAGAGAGAAGAAAAAAUACAUUCCACUUUGUAGCUGCUUAUUAUAAGAAACUUCCACCUUGUCCAUGUAUGAGAUGCAUAUACAGAGAUCAUGGAAACAUCACACAGCAAAGUCUUUCUCCAGCAACUUGCUUUCAGAUACAAAGCGACACUCCAAUGUCAGAAAUCAUUUUAGAAAUUGCUUUUCCCUUUACAAAGCUCUGAACUUUGACUAAUUCCUCAAAGACACUUGUGUUUAUAUGGCUGUUUAUUUACUUAUUGUCCCUGGGUUGUUCAAUAGGUCUCUUGACAUCAUUCCUCCUAUCAUUUUGUAUCCUUUGACCAAUGUGCCCCCAAUACUUCCCAGCUCAACCAAGUCCAGCCUCCAGUAACCUCCCAUCUACUCCUUCUUUCUAUGUAUCAACUCUUUUAGGUCCCACGUACAAGUGAGAUCAUGCGGUAUCUGUGUUUCUGUACCUGGCUUAUUUCAUUUAGCAUAAUUAGGAUUUUAUUCUUUUUUUCAGCUGAAUGAUAUGCAAAUGUAUGUAUGUAUACACCCCCCCCACCCCCCCCACACACAGUUUCUUUACUCAUUCAUCUGAUAGAUAUUUAGGUUAAUUUCAUACCUUAACUAUGGUGAACGGUGCUGCAGUGAACAUGAGGUGCAGACUACCUUUCACAUAAUGAUUGUGUUUCCUUUGGAUGUAUUACCCAGCAGUGGGAUUGCUGGAUCAUAUGGUAGUUCUGUUUUUAAAGUUUUUCAGGAACCUCCAUACAGUUUUCCAUAGUGGCUAUACUAAUUUAUAUUACAACUAAGAGUGUACAAGAAAUUCCCUUUCCUCCACAUCUUCUCCAACACUUACCUGUUGCCUUUUUGAUAAUAGUUAUUCUGACAGAUAUGAGAUGAUACCUCAUUAUGGUUUAAGUUGCAUUUCCCUAAUGAUUAAUGAAGUUAAACAUUUUUUCAUCUAGCUUUUGGCCAUUUGUAUGUCUUAUUUUGAGAAGUGUCUAUUCAGAUCUUCUGUUUCAUUUUAAAUUAAGUUACUUGUUUUCUUAAUAUUGAGUCGUUCAGGUUCUGUACAUGUUUUAGUUAUUACCUCCUGGUCAGACAUGUGAUUUACAAAUAUGUUCUCUCUUUCUGUAGGUUGUCUCUUCACUCUGUUGAUCAUUUCCUUGGCUGUGCAGAAGCUUUUAAGUUUGAUGUAAUCUGAUUUGUCUAUUUUUGCUUUUGUUGCCUCUGCUUUUGCGUUCAUAUUCAAAUAAAUUAUUGCCCAGAUCAACAUCAUGUAUAGGGAUACUUACUAUUUCAAUGUAAACUUACCAAAAUCACAAAAAAUGUAUUGUUAGAAAGUAACUAUGCCACAUAAUGUUUCCACACAAGACUGUGCAACUUGUAUAAACUGUAUUACAUGAUGAAAAUCUCACAAUAGUGCUCAAAACCUCAGGUGUCUAUCUCAAAAGAAGACACAGUCAUUAGAUUGCCUUAUAAUUUGGAUUUUCCUUGAUUAAAAUUUCACAUUCACAUUUGUAUUUCCUUACCUCUGUAGAAAUAGCAUUAAAAGUAAUUCCCCAGGCAUCUGUGAUUGCUCUAGGAAUUUUUAUAUAAAACCUAUAUAUAUAUACACACACACACACACACACAUAUACAUAUAUAUGUGUGUGUCUAAAAAUAGUGUAUAUGUGACAUAGAAUUAUAUUUUGGAUAUAUUAAAUUGUCAUAUCUUUAUUCUUCAUUUUGUAGUCUAGGCAACUAAAUAACCACCAAAGUGACAAAAUAAGGGUACCUUUUCAUAACUUAGAAACCAAGGAAGAAUGACACAAUAUGCUAAUAAAAUUUUCUCCCAAUUUCAACUGGAACAAUUAAAUGAUAAAUUCCUAUGUAGAGAAAUGCAAUCAUCUAUAAUUUCUUCAUUUCAGGUCAGUUAAUAUGACCAUUUAAGCCUGUAUUUCCUAUUGCACUUCUCUUUUAGGUUGACAAAGAAAACAAAUCAGAAAUUCAACUAGCAGUUUUCCAAAAUAAAACAGUAAGGCUUAUUACCCUGACCUUAGCAGUUGGUACCCAAUUUAGUAUCUUUAUACUACGAUGGUUUUCUUGUAAAUGUUAUCCUUGGCCACAUCUAAAAUAACAAGUUUUUACUUAACAUUUAUUUUUUUCUAAAGAAAUUCAGUCUCUAGAAGGAAAUAAACCUGGCAGAAAUAGAAUUCCUACUUUUCUCCCUUAUGCUAGGCUCUAGAAAUACUGAGGAAAUCAUCCGCUUUCAGGACUGUUCUUGAAAGUGAUAACUUGCAUGCACUUGAGCCGCAUCUCCCCUUCCCAGCACACCUGAACCCCAGGUCCCACUGUUGAUCUCCCUCUUCAAAGCAGCUCUGUUAUCUUCCUGAAACUGGAGAGGGAGAGGCUUACUCCUACUUUCAAACCAAAAACAGAUUUAGACCCGAAAGGAUUUAAAAAUAACCUAAAAAUAAAGUCCCAAAGCUGGCUUUUCUAUGUUCAAUCACACAACACUCGAAACAAUUGUGUGUUGCUUUGAGUCCCAAAUGCUUUAAUUUUUUUAAAGAAUAUGCAGUUCACUUUCUUAUUCCAGCAAACAUCGCAUUUAUACUAUCAAUAUGUCCAGGGUUUACUAAAACUUCAUAAAUGACUCUCUGAUAUUUGAAAGGGCAAGAUUAGAGUGGCUUCGUAUUUCAAACACAUACGUCAAAGAGUUGCGUAACACAUAUGCACAUAUUAAAGUUAUUACAGAUGUGAAAAUCUGCUUUUUUUUCCUGCCAAAGAAACAUGUACUUCCUUCAUGAAGAAUUUCCUAAACAAAUUUUGCCAGUUUAAUUGCCUAUAGAAAUUUAUUUUUAAAACAUUUUAUUUAAACCAUGUAAGUCCCAAGGUAGUCUGUGAACGUGAACUUUAAAGCUAACAUUUUUGUCACUAGUUCCUUUUUGCUAUGUCAGAAAAGAAAACAAUUCACAGCCAUUUUAUUUUUCCAGUUUUUCUCAAGGUUAGAGACUGUCUCAACCUCAUAGGCUCAGAAGAAUGCCUUUAUUUUCCCAUGAAAAGAUAAUCCUGAAGUAAUAUUUGCAGCAAGAGGCCAUUAGGCAAGUGUUGACCCUUUAUGGCUAGUCCAAUUUCCUCUCUAUGUGAGAUAUUAGUAAUUAAAUUCAGAUUUCUGUGUAUUUAUUUUCUUUCCUCAACUCUGUUCAUGGAUGCCAUUUUUAGGUAUCUCUUGCCACUUGAGCAAUCAAUAAGCAAAAGAGAGAUUUGUAAGAGGCCUUAAAAGGAGAGAAAGAGGAUUUUUCUCUUAGGCCCAGUUAUAGAAUCAGUUGUUAUUUUUUGGUCUGCAAUAAAUUUUUCCCAUAUCUGUAUGGGCAUUCCACCCGCGAGUUUCAGUUCUCUUAUUGCUUUUCUAAAUGUCUUGAGAGGUCACUAGAAAAUUAUUACAGUUCAUUAUUAUCCAGAAACUCCAACUUCUGACAUAAAGUAGCAAUUAUUUUUAACUUAAUCACAGACUAACAUAGUUUUGGAUGUUGGAAGAAAUAAUGCUAAAAUUGUAUAGCUCAAAAAAAAGAAAGAGAGAGAGAGAGAGAGAAAGACAGCCUGAAUAUGUCUUGAGUUUGAGAAUUUUUCAAUCUUGCUUUAUUCUCAGGGAUAAUUUUCAAACCUGAAAUUAAAUAGAUCAGUUGAGACAUGGAAUAAGCUUCUAUGGAGGCUCAUUAUAAAACUCAUGUAGAGUCUAAUCAUUCUUCCUAACACUCAUUUUUCCACCCACUAAAUCAUUAGCUUCAUUAACAGUGAUUAAAACUAAACCUCAAUCUGGCAGAGUUGGAUGGAUUCUCACGUCCUUCUAAUGACUAUAGUCUAAAGCACCCCACUGGGAAAGUGAGUGCUUCCUGGAGCCCGUGGACACAGAGGGAAGAG
rnacentral:lncRNA from 1 species